GCCUGUUGGAUAAACUGCUUUUUCCUUUGACAUGUCAAAUUUUCAUAGUCAUUAACAUACCAGUGCUGUAAGAGUUAUAGGAUUAGUUUGAUAUUUUGAGAAAUACUUCAAUUUACAAUACUGUAACUGUUUUGGCGACUUGGGACCAGCGGAAACACGUUGGUAUGGGGAAGCUGUUUGCAAACAGUUGCAUUCAUUUGAAGUUGUGUUUUCUGGCCACCGGAUGAAUUCAUCCAUGCAUGGGUGGACGGGCCCGACGCUGGGCCGAUCCCACCCCGCGAGGCAGGGAUCCCCAGGCUGUGUGGGACGAGGGGAUCCUGUUAACCUGCGUGCAUCCCAGUCGUCAUGCAUCCACCCCUGAGUUCCCCACCGCUGCACUUCACAGAAACAGAUUGCCUUGAGGAUUUAUCGCCGAAGAGCUAAAUACAGGCAUGCAAUGUUGA